CAGAUGGUUCAGACGGUGACCAGAGCAGUAGGGAGCCAGUAUGAGUUGUUGACAAGAAGAGUGCUCUGGUCAGAGCUAGGCUUUAGGACCAUCAGUCAAGCAGCCAUGGAGGAUGCUUGGGAGGCAGAGCCUCCCAUCAGGAAACCCCAGGAGUCUUGCGUAGAGAUCCAGGAGAGGGCGGCGUGAUGGAUGAGAAGAGUGAAGAUUCCAUGUCCGUCUCCACCUUGAGCUUUGGUGUGAACAGACCCACGAUUUCCUGCAUAUUCGACUAUGGGAACCGCUACCAUCUACGCUGCUACAUGUACCAAGCCCGGGACCUGGCUGCGAUGGACAAGGACUCUUUUUCUGAUCCCUAUGCCAUCGUCUCCUUCCUGCACCAGAGCCAGAAGACGGUGGUGGUGAAGAACACCCUUAACCCCACCUGGGACCAGACGCUCAUCUUCUACGAGAUCGAGAUCUUUGGCGAGCCGGCCACAGUUGCUGAGCAACCGCCCAGCAUUGUGGUGGAGCUGUACGACCAUGACACUUAUGGUGCAGACGAGUUUAUGGGUCGCUGCAUCUGUCAACCGAGUCUGGAACGGAUGCCCCGGCUGGCCUGGUUCCCACUGACGAGGGGCAGCCAGCCAUCGGGGGAGCUGCUGGCCUCUUUUGAGCUCAUCCAGAGAGAGA
rnacentral:sRNA from 1 species